UUUUUCUUUUCUUUUUGUUUGUUUGCUUAUGGAACCACUUCCUCUUGCACUGAAAUUUGAUUCAGACUGAAAGAAUCAGAACUUGUGGCUCUCCAGUGGUUUUCAGAAAGUCCAGGAGCAGACACAGAUCAUUUUUGCAUGGGUGAUUUCUGUCAGAUAUUUUUCAUCCUCACCUUAUUGGUGACUCUUAGGUUUUUUAUUCAGCUUUUCUGCCAUGCCCCACUGCUUUUCAGCAAUUUUCAUGCAGGGGAAGAGAUGGCUUUUCUUACAGAGCUAAUCUUGCAUCUGCUUUUUAUUGCUGUCUAUUUGAAGAUUGACUUCAUGUUCCAAUGGUCAAGAAGAGGGGAAGUUAUUUCUGCCCUUUAUAGCCAAGAAGGAUGGGAAGGUUGGGUGAAUGGAUUUAGUCUGGUACUGGGUUUUGUACAUCAGGAUGAGCUGUAAUUGAAUUUGGUGUCUAUUUGGUUUAUAUUCAGUAAUGAUAAUAAUACCAAAAUAUUAAGUUCAAUGAUCAAGCUACUGUUAUAUUUUGAGGAAUCUGGUAAAGCCCUCUCUGCCCCAGCUGGAAGUUUUCUUGUUGAUCUUAAGACUGCUCAAAUGAGAUUUUUUUCAUGUUGCUUGUCUACCUCUGAGCUAAUUUUCUUGCUUGCUUUUAUUUUGAAAGCUUCUGCUAAAACAAACCAGAGGGGGGGGGGGGGGAAAUAUUUGGCUGUCUCUGAAACAAAGUUGGUGGAAAAUGUUUUGCUCUGCCUGUCAGGAGUUAUUACACUCAUUUUGCUACAAAGCCUUCCUACUUAUUGAGCAGAGCCAGAAAAUUUGGCAGGGAGGCUGUUCUGACGUCAUGGUGCUUUCUGCCAUCCUUGAAGAAAUUUUCUCAAUGCUUUUUUUUUUUUUUUUUUUACCAUGUAUUUCAUUAGAGACUUGUCAGGGUUUUACUAUGGAAGUGCCUGUGGAUUCCUUAGCUCUGGGGCAGACCAGAUGUUCCUGUAUCAGUGGCAGGGACUGUUCUGGCUGGCCAAGACCUGCUGCUGCUGGCAGGGAGGGAUGGGAUAAAGGGUGGCAGGCUGAAAGUUGUGUCUCCAGGGCUCUCCGUGCCUGCAGGCAGGACACUGGGAAGUGGGAGGGCACAGAAGUCAGGGAAUGGGAUGAAGGGAGAGGCAGCCUGAGGUGAGAGAAGGAACAGUGCUGCCAGCUGUGCCCUUACAAGUGGGGCCCUGAGCCUUUUUUAGCCAGAUGACCUCUGGAAGUCUCAUCACUUCCAUUCCGGGGGUGAACAGAAAUCCCUGUGAAGGACAAUUUGAAAGGCCAAAUCCUUUCCCUCCUCUUUGUGGCUGGGACUGGACAGGCAGAGGGGGCAGGAUGGAUGCGUGACACAACAGAGAGUUCCCUUCACAUCAAAGCAGUACAAACCUCACUAAAAUCUUUCUUUAUUGUUCCUUCUUAAUAAAAGAGAGGGUGGCAUAAAAUAAGGCAAGUUUUGUGAUGGUACAGGUAACAUCCAACAGAGUGUUAGAACUUGUAAGGACUAACAAAUUUAAAUGUAACAACUUUCCACAGCUGAAGUGUUUUUAGCUACUCUUGGUUGGUUUUCUCUUGGGUUUUGUCUUUCUGUUUUGGUUUUGUUUAUCUUUUUAAUAAAGUUUAAACCGGCUGCAAGUGCAUGUGACUGUAGAGAUGCCUUCAGUGGGUCAUCCCAAGAUCUCAGGGAUGGUUGUUAAGGGAUGCUGUAAGUGGCCAGCUCCUAAACUCUCCCCAGGUUUUCCAUAGUUUCACAGGCCCUCCUCAGCUGUCAUGGCUCCUCCUGUUCCUUGUUGCCCUCAUCCAUUGAAAUUAUUGACUGAAAAUUUUUUGUGUUUGUCAUGUCUCGGUCAUCCCUUUGUGCUUUUCCUUCUAUUUUCCCCUUUAUUAUCACCUUUCAUAGAAUCAUGAAUUCACUGAAUGGUUUGGAUUGGAAGGGGCCUUCAAGAUCAUUUUGUUCCAACUCCCUGCCAUGGGCAGGGACACCUUCCACUAAUCCAGGUUGCUCAGAGCCCCAUCCAAUCUGGCCUUGGACACUGCCAGGGAUGGGGCAGCCACAGCUGCCCUGGGAAACCUGUGCCUCCCUUACAGGAAAUAAUUUCUGAUUUCUUCCUGAUAUUCCAUCUAAACCCACACUCUGUCAGUGUGAAGCCAUUCCCCCUUGUCCUGUCCCUCCAGGCCCUUGUCAAGAGUCUCUCUUUGCAUUGAAAGGGUCCUUGACUGGGUUGCCUUAAAGAAGCAGAAGUUUUUUCCUUCCACAUAGCCUUACAGAGCAUACAAGGCACUGAUAAUUUCCUGGGCCACUCAGAAAACAUUGCACCACCAGCUAAAACCAUCAGAGGUGCCACUGGCAGUAUGUACAAGCUGCUCUCAGCCAGCACGCCUUGCAAGGGCAUUCUGGACUUGGGCUAAAAUAAUUUUCCUCACUACAUUUGGAAAGCAGUGGAUGGGCACCCAGAUAUGGAGGGCCCAAAUGCCACAGCAGAAUUCUCAAGAAUCUCUUGUCAUUUUGGAAAUAAUGCCUUUCUCUUGCAUGGAAGCAGGGCUUCAUUGAAGUACUGGGGUUUAGGUGCGAGCCAAAGUUAAAUGAAAGGAUUGGAGCAGAAGGAACUGGGAAAUGAGGAGGGAUAGAACAGCAAACUGAAAAGGCUGGGGGAAAACAGGACAUGGGAAGGAGGAUGGGACAUGGACAGGAUGGAAGAAUAAACACUUGGAAUCACCUCAGGACCUCUAGGAUGGAAAUAAAUUAAAGAAUGGAAAUUGAAUAUUGGAGUGCAAGAGCAAAAGGGGUUGAACAGACCCACAAGAGGACAAAAUUCAGCUGAAGCACAAAUCUGAUGCUGCAAAACUUGACACAGGGCUUGUACACCUCAGUCAUUUUAAGCUGCCUAGCAAAGAGCUGUGAAACCCUCCAUCUUUCCCUGGGGAGGGGUCUGCAUGCUGCUGUCACUGCCUGUCACACUCCUUCAUUUGCUCACACACUACAGGGUUGUGUUGUGGACCUAAAAACCAUGACAGGAUGUUUUCCCUCCUGUGAUAAAGGGGAGCCUGAAGUCCCUGAAACACAUCCACAGCAUCUCUCUGGGAAAGGGCAUCUGAAAAAAAACCCCUAUGUAUUUACAUGGGAACUACUUAAGGGAUUUAACAAUAAAGGUUUAGAAAUUACUUAUCUGUAGAUAGAAUUUUGGGGGGAAUCCCAAGACAAACACUGCAUUUAAGGCAUUCUAGGUUAACAGAAGUACUUGAAAGCUAGGAAAUAUUUGUAUGAAAGUUUCUGGUUGAAGCUGUUUUGUCUUCCACUCCUCCAUUUAUCCCACUAUUGUCACAAAAUCUUCAGUUAUACCAUUAUAUAAUUUUUGCCAGUACAAGAACUUGUCCUCAUUCAACACACAGAAAGGACAGCAUUCCAGGAAUAGUCUGGGUUGAUCCAGGGAAUGAGACUGUCACCUUCACUUUGUGGAAGUGCAGUUUUUCCUCCAUCAGUCAGCAGUGGCACAAGCACCCUUUUCAAAGGGCAGCACAGAGACUGCUCGAGGCCUGGCUGCAUGGGGAUCUGAGCAACCUGGGCUAUGGGAAGAUGUCCCCCCUGCCCAUGGCAGGGCUUUGGAAUAGGAUUUGGAAGGGCCUUUAAGAUCUCUUCCAACCCUGGCCAUUCCAUGAUUCUAGCACUGGGAUGGAGGGUUUCCCAUCACAGAAUAUUCAAGGUUACUUCUGUUUUGAGAAAACUGGGAUUUUUUUUAUCCCUGUUCAUUUGUGGUGAUGCAUGAAAUCAUGAUGGAUACGUGGGUAUUGUUAGAUGCCCAGCCCUCCUCACCUUGUCUGGUUCUUUGAGAUCUGCAGUUACACAAACUGAGGAUUGUGUAUUUUCUUCCCUCUUGGGGUGUAAAACAAAUAGGAGAGUCAAGGUUUCAUUGCCCAUAUGCACUGAAAUCACUGCUCUUUCCUACCCUGAGUGAUUGUGGCAUUCUGUGAAAUGCAACGUUUCAAACACAGGCCUUCACUUGGACUAGAAUAAAGAGGCUGAAGGCACUCAGGGAUCUGACCAUGAACAUUUGAUGCUGCAGUAGUUGAUUCUCUGAUGCUUGGAAGAUGUUAAUAAACAUCUUUCAGGCUUCUCCUGCUUUCUGGUGAGAGUACAAACCAGGAGAACUCCUGUUUCCAAAUGGUAUGCCUAACAGCUCCAGGGCUCAAGCUAAUUCUGCUUCCUCCCCUGUUCAGCACUCUCAUUUAUAGAUUUAUGGCUCUGAGUAAGAAGGGAAGUAUGAAGUUGGCUGUAAUUGGUAGUGUGCAUAAAUGUAAAUUACCAUUUCAAAUGGGGAUGCUCUGCCAGCUAUUGCAUUUUUUUUUUCAUUUUCCCUGUCUAUUGCUCUUUUUAGACUGUGGGGAUUUGUUUGAUGUGUGGAAUAUUUUGGCUCCUGGGAAAUGAUUCCUACCCCAGGGCCUCCAGCCUGUGGGAGGUUCUGUUGUGCCUCCCAGGCUAUGCAUUAAGGUGCUGAUGGAUGAUUUUACAGAUGCAUUGAUCACCAAAAUAUACUGCAGGUAUGGAAGGUGUUUUUCUUGUUCCUCCAUUUGAUGGGGGUGAGUGUUACAAGAUGUCACAUCAGCAAAGCAUGUCAAGCUGUUCUGCUGAAGGCCCAGUGCUCAGUCAGCAUCCCCAGCACAUACUGGGAAGCCUUCAGCCCCAAAAAGAGUUCUGGAAAAGGGAUAUGAAAAGUAUUUUGCUACUGGGCUGCAAGCAAGUCAAGAAAUUGUAGUAAGGUUAUAGGGAUGAGAAGCUCCAUAACUGGGAAAAGUACCUGAAUGUGGGAAGCAGAAGAUAGGGGUAGCACAGGAGCUGUGGAGGAGGGAAUUGGAAAGUUCAGGAGACGAUGAGGUGACUGGGAAAUGCAGGAAGACAAGGAAGGGGCUAAGAAGUUUUGAAUGCCCUAGCUGCAAACCUGGAUUUCCACUUGGGAUAUCUCAGAUUUGGAGUGAGGGUCUCUAGCUUUGGCUUUGCUGAGAAAAUGCUACACAGACACAAUUUUUUGGCAGCUGCAGUGCUGAUCACAUCAAAUCUUGCAAAAGGGAGCUAAAGGAAACCCAAAGGGUGGCGAUGCUACCCAAAAUGCUGAGCCAGUUUUGGGGUGCUGGAGCUCCACGCUGACUCUGCUCUGCUGGCUGAAGCUUGCUCCUUUAAACCCUUCAGCUCCAUCAUGUAGACAUGCCCUGCGUGUCCUCUUAGAAACCUCGGGAGCUUUUCCAUCCCUUCCGAAAGCUGUUUUGAAAGGAUUUCUCGAUAGUUAACCCUGCAAAUGAAUAAAUCGUAAUUAUGAUUCAAAUAAUCCCGGGAAUGAAUAAUUCAUUGUAAUAAUUGAAAA
rnacentral:lncRNA from 1 species